rnacentral:misc_RNA from 1 species
AACCUUCCUUAUCUCUAUCCAUUUUCCCCUUUCCCUUCACUGAGCCACCGUCACUCUGUUCUAAAAAACAGAGCUUACGUCAAUGGCGAGUUCUUCUUCACUGACGUCUGCUCUGAUAAAUUCUUCCCCAUUUUGCGCUAAAUCCUUCUCCAAAUUUCAAUUUUUAUCCUUCCUCUCUUUUGCUCAUACCCUGAAGUCUUUCCCCGCUGCAAGCUCGAAAGCUCUUCUUCUCCAAGAGAGGCAAGGUUGCUUGACCGUCAAGGCCCAAACACUAGACUUCUCUGGUUCGUUUUAUGAAGGUGGUGGGUUCGGGUCGGACGAAGACCCGCCAUCGCUAGCUGGGUCAGGGAUGACUGCUGUCGAGGACAAGGAGCCGCCCCCAUGCCCUCCUGGGCUUCGACAAUACGAGACCAUGGCGGUUUUGAGGCCGGAUAUGUCUGAAGAUGAACGACUUGCUCUUACUCAGAAGUACGAGGAGGUAAUAUUUUCGAAUUUCCCUUUAUUUUUUUUUUUUAAUCUCUUCUCUAUGAUACGUAGGUAGGUGGAUUAGUGCUAGAAAGUUUUAAACUUCAUCUUUAGAACAUAAAGAGUGGUAAAUUAAGGUUUCUGAAACAUAAACAAGAAGUAUGUACUGAUCUAUUGGAAGAACUUUCCUCAUUAAUAUCCUCUUCUUUGGUGCACGAUUAGUGUCUUCAAAAUGCUAAUAUGUAGGGUAGCUUCUGUAUACAUCCUUGCCUCCUGUUGUAUCUUUGGUGACAUGACAUCCGUGUUUGACUCUAGUUUAGUUGAUUUAGACUCUAGUUUAGUUCAUUUAAAUGAAAUCUGCUUUUGUAUCUGUAUGCCUUAGAUGACGGAAAGAUUAGAAGAAUUUGCCUUUAUAUAUGCUGCUGAAAUCUUGCUGUGGACUACCCCAUUAAGUUACUUUAACUUAUGCCCAUUAAUCUUUAUCUUUCCAAGAAUGAAACUAUAUAUAUGUUGGGCAUAUGUUUAUAUUUGCUUGUUGCCUGCACAUCAUUAGCUUUUAGAUGAAUCUAAUAUAAUGGAUGGAGAAUGUUAUGUGUAGAAUUCAACAUACAAGGAAAACAUGAGAUGUACUUUGCUUAAAAAUCUUUUAGAAACCAUGGUGCUAAGCUUAGAUAUCCUCGUUAUACUAUAUGUGGAUGAGUUAAGCCUCCUCUAAUUAAUUGUGGAGUAUUUGUUAUUGCAGCUACUAAUUAAAUGUCUGGAUUUUUGUUUUCAGAGUUGUGUUAUUGAAUAUAUUGAAGAUUAAAAAUUUAGAUGGUUGUGAACCAAAAAUUAUUGCAAGUACAUUUCAGAUGAUAAUUAACCCAACUUACAUUGUUUGAGAAACUUUUGUACUUGUCGAAAAAAGUCGAGGAAGACUAACUUGGUAGUGAUUCUGCCCAAUUGUGCCAAGCUUGAUACUGAUUAAUUAUAGUCAUGAUAUGCAUGUCCAUUUGUUUUGUUGUGACAAUGAUUUUUGACUUUUGUAUCAUAAAGGUUCGUUGAAAUUGGUCUGAUUUCUUUGUCGUGCUUCCGAUCAGAUGUAGUUGAAAUUUACAUUUAAGCCGUGAUGUUUGAGGAAUGGUCAAGGCUAGAAACCACUUAAGAUAUUAUUGAAUAAUGUCAUCUCAGAACAGAAUUCCAGUUAGGCUAAGGUAAUGAUAUUCCAUUUUCACGGAUCCUUUUACUUGGAGACAAGCGAGGAAAUUAUCCACCCAAAUUCAUUAUCAUUAUUGUCAUCCAAGUUUGUAGUCUUUAAGUAGCUAAUGGAGAAUGAAACUGUUAAACUUCUACCAUGUAUUAUAUAGUUCUUGCUAAUGAUGGUAAUCUUGCAGUUGCUUGUUGCUGGGGGUGGCAUGUACAUAGAGGUUUUCAACAGAGGUGUCAUUCCACUAGCCUACAGCAUCUAUAAGAAAAACAAAGCAGGAGAGACAAAUACUUACUUGGAUGGCAUCUACCUCCUCUUCACCUACUUCACAAAACCUGAAUCCAUUGCAAUUCUUGAGGCAACGUUAAAGACGGAUGAUGACGUCAUCCGAUCAACUAGUUUCAGAGUAAGAAAGAGGAAGUUGUAGAAUUGGUUGCGUGCUUUCUUUUCUGCAGUCCUGAGAGGAAGACAAGAAUUGGCAGUGGCAUGUAGUCUUGUAUGUUAUGGAUCUUCAUUCUUCCAGAUCACUAAAAAUUUAAUUUGUUUUUUGCAACAUAGUCAGAUCAGCAAUGAUGCUAGUGAGAUAAGCAAGAAUCUUACAAUAGGCAGUCUCUGGGUGAUAUGGUCUUGCAAUAGGGUGCAGUUGUUUCAUCAAAAUCCCACAUCUUACAAGCAUGUGUUAACCAUCUUGGAAUUCAUAGUCAUGCAAGGACAUGGUGAUUUCCAUAACUUUUUAACUAAUGACUGAAUUUGGAUGAACUUUACUGUUGGUCGAG